rnacentral:rRNA from 1 species
AACGAACGCUGGCGGUAUGCCUAACACAUGCAAGUCGAACGAGACCUUCGGGUCUAGUGGCUCACGGGUGCGUAACGCGUGGGAACCUGCCCUUAGGUUCGGAAUAACUCCCCGAAAGGGGUGCUAAUACCGGAUAAUGUCUUCGGACCAAACAUUCAUCGCCUUUGGAUGGGCCCGCGUUGGAUUAGCUAGUUGGUAGGGUAAAAGCCUACCAAGGCGACGCUCCAUAGCUGGUCUGAGAGGAUGAUCAGCCACACUGAGACUGAGACACGGCCCAGACUCCUAGGGGAGGCAGCAGUGGGGAAUAUUGGAAAAUGGGCGAAAGCCAGAUCCAGCAAUGCCGCGUGAGUGAUGAAGGCCUUAGGGUUGUAAAGCUCUUUUACCCGGGAUGAUAAUGACAGUACCGGGAGAAUAAGCUCCGGCUAACUCCGUG